ACGAUGGCAAAUUGGUUAAUAUUCCAAUACCAACAUUAGUGUGCGAUGGAAGGACGCUUAGGGCUAAGGGGGCUAGCGGAUGGAAGUGCUAGUCUAAGGUCGUAGGAGGUUAUACAGGCAAAUCCGUAUAACAAUACUCCGAGAACUGAAAGGCUUUUUGAAGUCUUCGGAUGGAUAGAAGAACCCCUGAUGCCGUCGAGCCAAGAAAAGUUUCUAAGUUUAGCUAAUGUUGCCCGUACCGUAAACCGACACAGGUGGGUGGGAUGAGUAUUCUAAGGCGCGUGGAAGAACUCUCUUUAAGGAACUCUGCAAAAUAGCACCGUAUCUUCGGUAUAAGGUGUGGUUAGCUUCGUACUAGGAUUUACUCCGAAAGCGAAGAAACUUACAACAAAGAGUCCCUCCCGACUGUUUACCAAAAACACAGCACUCUGCUAACUCGUAAGAGGAUGUAUAGGGUGUGACGCCUGCCCGGUGCUCGAAGGUUAAUUGAUGGGGUUAGCAUUAGCGAAGCUCUUGAUCGAAGCCCG
rnacentral:rRNA from 1 species